rnacentral:misc_RNA from 1 species
GCACACGCGGCUCGUAUGGCGAACGUACUCCCAUCGGGAUGCAUCGAUUUCAGGCGAUUAACGGCGCUAGUUAAUUUCGAGCAAUCGACGAAAGAGCAUUUUCGCCAUGGAAAAUCUCAUCCGAUACCGGAAAACGGUUUCACCGCAUUUCCAUCGUUUCCUCUCUUUUUAAAAUUUCCUACAUACUGUAUUCGCCUUAGAAUCGAACAUCCCUCGGGAACGUGCAUUCGCUUCACGCGCCCGGCGCCAAUUCAUCUUUUUCUUCAUUUUUUCCUCUCUCUCUCUCUCUCUCUCUCUCUCUCGCGUUUGUUCGCUCGCUUGGAAACGCGCCACAGGUUCGUCGCUUUACCUAGCCAAACACCAUCUCCUGCGGACGCGUGACUCCAGAUACCGCUGUCUAUUUCGCGUGGCUGGUGUUUUACGUUAAAAUUGAGAUUUUUGCGCGAGAACCCGAGGUCUCGACGGGUUUCCAUGCACGCAAA